rnacentral:rRNA from 1 species
CCUACGGGGGGCAGCAGUGAGGAAUAUUGGUCAAUGGCCGCGAGCCUGAACCAGCCAAGUAGCGUGAAGGAUGACGGCCCUACGGGUUGUAAACUUCUUUUAUAAGGGAAUAAAGUGAGUCACGUGUGCCUUAUUGUAUGUACCUUAUGAAUAAGGAUCGGCUAACUCCGUGCCAGCAGCCGCGGUAAUACGGAGGAUCCGAGCGUUAUCCGGAUUUAUUGGGUUUAAAGGGAGCGUAGGCGGGUUGUUAAGUCAGUUGUGAAAUUUUGCGGCUCAACCGUAGAAUUGCAGUUGAAACUGGCAGUCUUGAGUGCAGUUGAGGUAGGCGGAAUUCGUGGUGUAGCGGUGAAAUGCUUAGAUAUCACGAAGAACUCCGAUUGCGAAGGCAGCUUAC